AAGCGACAAAGUGUUGUUGCUUUCAAGUCAGCAACGUAUUUAUUUAAAAAAAAAACAUUGGUAAAACAUCAUUACCGACAUAUUUUGUGACAGAGCACAACAACAAUGAUAUUUAUGUGUUCAGUUUGUUCGUGUUUGAGCAUUAUUUCAGUGAAGUUAAAGUAUACAAUGGAUCCAAAUGCAUUGCCGUCUACAUUGCAAACCGCAACAACAUUAACAAGUACCCAAAGUUAUUUGAAGCAUUUGCCUUCGCACAAUGUUGCUGUUUUUGGUGCAUCUUGUGAUUUGAGUGGACUAAAUCUGCCAACGAAACAGGAUAUUUUAAGAUGUUUUUUUCUUGGCUGAACGUGCUAAACAAAGUGUUUUUGUAUAAAACAUUUGUACCGCACGUAACAGACAAAUUGAUUGAAAUUUGGGGUCAACUUAAUGUUGAAAUUCUAGCAAAAAAAGUGUUGUUAGAAAAUUGGGUACAUUGAUUGAGAAGUAUCAAAUCGAAACUAAACAUCCAAAAAUCACUACAUUCAGAACAUUUGUGCAAUCUACAAAAGAUAUAUUUUACAUCGGCAAAUGUCAAUGUGACUUAAAGGAAGCAUUAUGCUCAUGUGGAUUGAUUUUAGAUCAUUUGAAAGAGUUCAUGCGAGAUCAAAAUAAUGUCAGAAGAUUGACAAUAUCGGAAUUCGAAGAACCAGCACCAGCGUCAGCAAUAAUAUCAACAAGCGUUAAAGAGAGCCAUUUAGCAUAUGAACCAAGUACCUAAAAUGAUGCUUUAACAAUGGAAAAAAUCGAUGAGAAGUUCCAUGCAAGGAUCGUGAAAGAACCACAUCUAGUUGUUUUGAAGGAACUAAAUUCUCAAUUGAUAGGCUACACAAAAGUCGAAAAUGAAGAUGCUGAACAAAAAUUGAUGACAUUGAAUGCGUUUUUCGUCGAAAAAGAAAUGCUCUCGAUGCAUUAAUUGGCAUAUGCUGUGAUGGUGAGCCAACAUUUCUGACAUAAGAAAUGGGAUUUUGUGUCGAUUUAAAUUGCAUUUGAAUAGACCACUGCAUUGGUUUGUGUGCCUUCUGCACUUUAACGAGUUGCCAUUUUGUCAUUUGUUUGACACUUUGGACAGAUCAUCGACCACUGGACCACGAACAACAACCGGAACAUUGGACAAACAAAUUAAAAUGUGUGAAAAUCUUCCGCUUGUUAAUGAAUUCAAGAUAAUCAUGCUAGAGAACAUGCCACCUGAUUUAGAUCCAUUUGAAUUAUCCACCAAUUUAAAGUAUUUAUACAAAACGCCAAUGCAAUUUCAAAUGGUGUUGUUCCUGCAGAUUUGUCUCACAUUAAACCAGGACCAAUAGCACAUUCACGUUGGCUCACCAAGGCAAAUAGAUUGUUGCGGUUGUAUGUGUCAACUGAAAAUCCAUCAAGGAAUUUGAAAAUUUUGGCAACCUACAUAAUGAAAGUGUAUGUGCCGAUGCACAACAUCAAGUACUAUAAUUCGGUGGCCUUCGGUAGUGUAUUAUUUUACAAAUUCAUUUGUUGGAUACAAUACUUGGAUACAAAUCUACGCAUAGUUGCAAUCAAGAAAAUUUUACACUACCUGUACAACCCGGCACAUCUUAGAGUUUAUCAAAAACCUUUGAAAAACUUUAUUUGUACAGAUUAUACGAAUAUGAUUAAUUUAAAUAAAGAUGAUGUCUUUUUUGAACUACCGUUUACGCAUAGCAUUCGGUAUGAUCAUUUGGAACAAUAUUUGAACCAAGAAUUCCAGUACACAUACAAGCAACGGAAAGACAUGUUCAAUUGCUGGCUAGCGUUUCUAAACGUGUUUUAAAAAAAAGUUGACACAGUGUUUUGGCAGUUACAUCAGAAAGCCAUGCAAAAUACCCCAGACUUAAAAGCAAGAAAGUCUUUCAAAAAUAACUUAUUUUGCUUUUCUUCUACUAAAUUCAUUUUUUUUAAUUUUUUACACAUGUUCUUAU